GUUAUAUCACGGUGAAAUACCGGUUCUCGUACGAUCACGGAAGUUAAGCAACGUCAAGCCUGGUCAGUACCGAGAUGAUGACCACUUGGGAAUACUAGGUGC